rnacentral:rRNA from 1 species
AGAACGAACGCUGGCGGCAUGCCUAAUACAUGCAAGUCGAACGAACUCUUCGGAGUUAGUGGCGCACGGGUGCGUAACGCGUGGGAAUCUGCCCCUUGGUUCGGAAUAACAGUUGGAAACGACUGCUAAUACCGGAUGAUGACGAAAGUCCAAAGAUUUAUCGCCAAGGGAUGAGCCCGCGUAGGAUUAGCUAGUUGGUGAGGUAAAGGCUCACCAAGGCAACGAUCCUUAGCUGGUCUGAGAGGAUGAUCAGCCACACUGGGACUGAGACACGGCCCAGACUCCUACGGGAGGCAGCAGUAGGGAAUAGUUGGACAAGUGGGACGAAAGCCUGAUCCAGCAAUGCCGCGUGAGUGAUAGAAGGUCCGUUAGGUUAGUAAAGUCGUACUUUUACCGAGUAUGAAUAAUAGACAGUAGUA